UACGGGGGGGGGAAGCGUUGUUCGGAAUUAUUGGGCGUAAAGAGCUCGUAGGCGGUCUGUCGCGUCUGCUGUGAAAACUCGGGGCUUAACCCCGGGCCUGCAGUGGGUACGGGCAGACUAGAGUGCGGUAGGGGAGACUGGAAUUCCUGGUGUAGCGGCGAAAUGCGCAGAUAUCAGGAGGAACACCGGUGGCGAAGGCGGGUCUCUGGGCCGAUACUGACGCUGAGGAGCGAAAGCGUGGGGAGCGAACAGG
rnacentral:rRNA from 1 species